UCAGAUCUAAUGCACAAAACACAAUAACAUAGAACUCUUUAUUGUGCAUUACAAAUGAUAGGUGGCACUUGGAUGCCCUUCUAUGCUUAAGAUUAAUCAUCUCAUGAAAGCAUGUCUAUUGUUAUUAUCCAUUAAUUAAAUAUGACACAUAUUGGAUUUCGUUCCCUUAUUCCAAGAUUCUACAAUCAGAAUUCCCUAGCAAAUUUUUACACAUGAAAUUAGGCACUUGAAACCGUACAGAUUACUACAUGUACCUCCUACCAUUUAGAAACCAUGGAAACACAAAAUAUUUCAACACUUUCCCAUCUACUAUUCAUAGCUUGGACAAGCCCCAUCUACUUUUCUUGGCUCAAAAGGACUGAGGCCCCUCCAACUGCACUCAACUUCUAGGAUAUCUCUUCUUUGAAGGCCAUGAAAACAAUCAUUCGGUAAGAUCAUUUGUGAUUAUAAAUGGCAUUUAUAAUUACUUGAUAUUCUCAUAUACAGUAUCUAAAUAGUAAAAUUUAUAAAUGCAAUACAUUAAAAGAACUAAUGCUACUGGUAUCCAUAGCUAGAAUACAUAAAUACAAAUAAUUAGAGGCAUGAAACUCUAACAUUAGAUAGACCCGUGUAAAUUGCAUACAUGUAACCCUUAUAAACUUGGCGUCUAAUUUUUUUUGCAGUAGGCUUUUAACCUAUUCAACAAGUCAAACACUCGGAAUGAAAUUAUGUCUUGGUUCUCGCUUCACCUAUUCAGCAAGCUACCAUCGACCUUAUUGCAGUCCAUAUGAAGAAGAGACGAACAUCAUAUUCUGCUGAAAAACAACAAUGUGAAGUUUAUGGAUAUCAUUGCCAUUAAUGUCACUAAAUUUAUUGAUCCAUAAAAACCAUGAGUAAGUGCAAAAGAAAACGAAUUUGGGUUGAGGGGAAUAAGGAAGGAUCAAACGAAAGAAUGAAUGGAUCACGCACAUACUGUUCAUAAGUUCUUCUCUGGAUGGAAAUGGAACCCAAUACAUGCCGCUGCAGCAUCCUUCUUGUCCGCUCCGAGGAACCCCAUUUGACCAUUUCCUCCGGUACCGCCCACGACAUCUUCUAUAACAUGUCCUCUUCCACCACUGACAUCUUCUCCGCCAUCUCAUUCACGAAGCCCUGUCCACCAUGUUUCACUUCAUAUUACAUUACUCUCAUGUAUCACACAUACUACAACUCAACCAUGCAUAUAAGUGAAAUAUAGGAAUGGAUCUCUAGUACAACAAUAUAUGCACACUUUUUCCAGAGUGACUUCUAUGCUUGCUACUACUAUCUUCUACACAUAGACCAAGGUACUCUAAAGUGAAUAAGUGAUAUUUCCAGAUUAAAAGUUUGGCGUUGCUAAUUUCAGUAUCUACAUAAAACAAACUUUAAUAGAAAAACAUCAAGUCUGUUUAGAUAUCUCUACCUAAUAUUAAAAGGAUGAUCGUUUCUAAAAGACAUGCAUGGCCAUUGCUAAAUAUGGGUUUACUGGGUAUUACUACCAUUCUAGCAUCUGUCUAGGAUAAUUAUUACAAAGUCCAAACUACCAAGGACAAGGAGUUAUAGCACUGUCUCAAGAUUCUAACUUCUGCCCCUGUCGCAAGAUUCCGCCAUACUGUUUUACCUAUGUUUAUUCAGAUUGCAUAUUCAAAAAAUAACUAUACCAGUGAGCCUCAUAGGUUAAACCGAGCUUGCACACGCACGCAGAAAAUCAAUCUAACUUCUCCCUUCUAACCCCGAACUGUCAAUAAGAAGCACAGCUACAAUGGUUAGUUGAAUGUUUGUGUGUUGCCAAUGGACUAACGGAAAAUAGUGAUUAAACAAUCGUUUAAAUUCAGAAAUGUCGAUCAUGUUGACAUAUGGUUUGCAUUCAUAUAGAGACAAACUAAUAUUCUCUCCUCUCCUCCUUGACAGCUGUCAUGUCGCCUUAACCACCAUCUCAAGCAACAAGGCCUAAUUGGGGCUUUAUAUACGGAUGAAAUAACCACUUUGGGUGCUCCAGUAAUGAAAUAACCAGCAAUUAAAAUAUAAACCUAACAUCCCUAGGACAGUCUUCUGAAAUAUAAAAACCGAAGACCAAGUAAACUUUGCAGCAGUCACUACUUAUUACACGUUUAUAUAAAAAUCGAUUGACUAUCAAUAUUCAUCAAACAAAUAAAUCUGAUAUAUCAUACGACAAAUGACCUACUAAGUACAAGUUUCUAAAAGGGAGAUGUAUGAAGUGGUUAGACUCUCCAGGAACCUUAGAAACUUGAAGGCACAUAUUACCAUAUCCAAAUUUCGAGCUAGUUGUCUAAGAAAUUAAGUAGACAAUGUAAGAAGAUAGAGAAAAUGUUAUACCACACCAAAAGCUACAUGCAGCAUAGUGCAACAAUGUUUGGAAUAAUUUGGCUUGAUGCAUACUUGAGAUCUAGCCGGUGUACUCUAAUUAGAACAAGCAGAAAAAAGGGAUCAGCACAAGGUCCAUUAACAAAAAACAGUUAGCAGAGAAACAACUCGGUGAAUCAUUAACUUACAAUCUUGCUUUUUGAAUGUGCAACCCAUAACCAGAGAAGCCUCUCGGCAUUUGAGGGCUUGGGUAUUCUCACAACAUAGAGCAACUAUAGCUGCGCCUCACUCCAAAAGGGGCCAUCUUCACUACAAAUAGAGCAAUAAGUAUCUCACUCCAGUUGAUGAGUUAGUCUCUUUAAUUACACCCUUGUAUGUGGUAGUGUUGUUACUCUGCAACUAAUAAAGUCUCUCUACGUGAACUAUUUUUUUGCCUGGUAUCCAAACAAAGCAUUUUUAUUUCGCCACUGUAUUGGGCUACUAUUCACUCAUAGGAUUCUGCGAUAGGAUGCCUUAUUCUUCAUUUUAUUAUUGCUCGCUAGAUUAUUUUUAGUUCAAUAGUUGUCAUACGACAAACCAUUAAAUUUGAAGAAACCCGGGUAAGUCUAAUCGACAUCAACUCUAUAUUGCUUCUACUAAUAAAAAGCACUCUAUCUCUAUGUACUCCCGAAUAGUUGUUUUCUUGUAAACAAUUCAACAACACACAAGGAUCUUUUCCUAAAACAUCACCUAAUGACAAAAGGAUGCAUUCAGAGAACUAUAAUUUAUUCGAUCAUCAUCAUGCUUGUGCAAAGAACACUAUGCUUGCACAUAAUAAGCAUAAAGAAAAUCAUAGUCAUCCACACUCCCAAGAGUAAGCAGGUAGUACAUUAGUGCAAACAAUUUACUCAUCAUAAAAUAGCUAGAUUGGCCAUGAAUACCAACAUAGUAGCCAUGCUUUAGGUAGAGCAAAUAAUUUCUCCAGAGAGUAGCAAGAGUGCAAAAAUGAAGCACAUGAACAAUUUCAAAAUGCAUUAGAAUCUGCAAAGGGAGAAGGAUGCGACCUAAAUAGUCAGAUCAUAUUGCAGAAGCAAAAACUUUGGACGAAGAGUGGACAUGUAGUUACUCAUGAUUCAAAUAUAUCUAUAUUUAUGUGAAACAUAAUGCCUACAAUAACUAAGUAGAUGGACAACCGCUACACACAAUUCAGAUUUAUUCUAGUGCCUGAUAAAUGUCAGGGCCACGCCAUGCAGAAACCCGAAGGAUAUUAAUCCAAACCAGCUCUUUCAUGGAAUCCCCUACCCAGACAAAGCUCCAACACACACGUGAAAAUGCCUAUAUAUAAGUAGGGGUUCACGCACCUGUACCCUUGAGCCUGUGUGUCUUCCAUGACCUUGGCUCAAUAAAUUGAUAUAAAAUAAUGCCUUGAUAUCCAAUCUUGAGUAUCAAAAUAUUUUAUUUGUGAAAGAGGAAAAAGGUAUUGUCUACCUCCCAGCUGGCUGCCCAAUUGGAUGAGCAUGUGUGUUGCAAAAAGUGAGUUCGUAUUGGCAUUCCUUGGAGAACCCAAUCUGCUUGAUACUCAUCAGGCCUGAAACUAUUAUGCCAAAAAAAAGCAAGUAUGAGAUUUAGGAUUCAGAGUAC
rnacentral:lncRNA from 1 species